rnacentral:rRNA from 1 species
ACGUGGGUGAUCUGCCUUGCACUUCGGGAUAAGCUUGGGAAACUGGGUCUAAUACCGGAUAGGACAGCUGUUUAGUGUCAGUUGUGGAAAGUUUUUUCGGUGCAAGAUGAGCUCGCGGCCUAUCAGCUUGUUGGUGGGGUAAUGGCCUACCAAGGCGUCGACGGGUAGCCGGCCUGAGAGGGUGUACGGCCACAUUGGGACUGAGAUACGGCCCAGACUCCUACGGGAGGCAGCAGUGGGGAAUAUUGCACAAUGGGCGGAAGCCUGAUGCAGCGACGCCGCGUGGGGGAUGAAGGCCUUCGGGUUGUAAACUCCUUUCGACAGGGACGAAGCGUAAGUGACGGUACCUGUAUAAGAAGCACCGGCUAACUACGUGCCAGCAGCCGCGGUAAUACGUAGGGUGCGAGCGUUGUCCGGAAUUACUGGGCGUAAAGAGCUCGUAGGUGGUUUGUCGCGUCGUCUGUGAAAUUCCGGGGCUUAACUCCGGGCGUGCAGGCGAUACGGGCUGACUUGAGUCCUGUAGGGGAGACUGGAAUUCCUGGUGUAGCGGUGAAAUGCGCAGAUAUCAGGAGGAACACCGAUGGCGAAGGCAGGUCUCUGGGCAGUAACUGACGCUGAGGAGCGAAAGCAUGGGUAGCGAACAGGAUUAGAUACCCUGGUAGUCCAUGCCGUAAACCGUGGGCGCUAGGUGUAGGGGGCUUCCACGUCUUCUGUGCCGUAGCUAACGCAUUAAGCGCCCCGC